rnacentral:ncRNA from 2 species
UGAGGGGUACGCGACUGGCGAUAGGCGCGCGGCCCUUGCGGGCCGGCUGUGCUGACGUGGGACACCACAGGGAAGCGUGCCGCGGAACCACCCUGGUUUCCGUGUUCAGCCGUUCGCCUGGGCAGCCCCC